CGGGGCGUAGCGCAGUCUGGUAGCGCACUUGACUGGGGGUCAAGUGGUCGGAGGUUCAAAUCCUCUCGUCCCGA